rnacentral:rRNA from 1 species
ACAAGCGGCGGAGCAUGUGGAUUAAUUCGAUGCAACGCGAAGAACCUUACCUGGGUUUGACAUAUACCGGAAAGCCGUAGAGAUACGGCCCCCCUUGUGGUCGGUAUACAGGUGGUGCAUGGCUGUCGUCAGCUCGUGUCGUGAGAUGUUGGGUUAAGUCCCGCAACGAGCGCAACCCUUGUCCUGUGUUGCCAGCGCGUAAUGGCGGGSACUCGCAGGAGACUGC